GUCGGGGAGAGGUGGAGUGGAACAGAGUUUACCGCCAAAGAGAGUAACCCUACCAAGAUCUUUGUUCCCGCCUCCUGGAAACCUGCCUGCAGUUGGAGUGUGUCAAUUGGAGUGAGAAGGGUGACGAAGGCCAGUGGGAAGAGGAGGAGAAACUCCCCCUCCAAGGUUUCAUCCUUGCUGAGGAAGGUGAUGGAUUACCGCUACGCCCUGGUGUGAAAAUGGCUGAAUUGACCCAUCAACUAUCCAACAGGCUGAAUUGUCCUGACCAAUAGAAGAAAAAAUUGUUAAUUUCAGAGUGUAAUUGUUAAUUUCAGAGUGUAAGUGUAAAAUUUUAAGUUGAAAAUACACUGCAAAAGUUGAUUUUACUGUAGGAGUGUAAACAAAUAACAAAUAUGUAAGGGAAGAGUGUUGGUCUGAUGUAAUAUUUAUUUUGGUUUCCACUGCUUUAUAGUUUCUGUAAUCACAAUUAGGCUUUCAAUAAUUCGUUUUGUAUGUAAGGAAUCAAUAUCUCAUCUCAUCUCAUUAUCUCUAGCCGCUUUAUCCUUCUACAGGGUCGCAGGCAAGCUGGAGCCUAUCCCAGCUGACUAUGGGCGAAAGGCGGGGUACACCCUGGACAAGUCGCCAGGUCAUCACAGGGCUGACACAUAGACACAGACAACCAUUCACACUCAC